GGAUAAAUGGCGUAUUAGCGUAUAUGAUUUCGGGUCAUAAGGAACAAAUGUUGUUUUAUCCU
rnacentral:tRNA from 1 species